AGGUAGAAAAGAUGAGGCUGCUUUGUGAUGAAACUGCAAUGAUACAGAGAGAAACUGAUGGCAGAUGUCAGCACAAGAUAACUGAGAUGAUGGCACUGAUGGAAAAGCACAAGAAUGAAUAUGAUAAAAUGGUUGAAGAAAAAGAUGCAGAGUUAAAAGUAUAUAAAAUGAAACAGCAAAAGCAGUUCUCAUCAGAAAGAGCACUGGAAAAUGAGCUAUCAUGUUUGAAAAGGGAACUGUCCUCCCUUAAGGAACAACUGAGAGCAGAAAUGGAAGAAAAGGAGAAUCUUGUAAAAGAGCACUCUGGCAGUAUGAUUGCUGAAAGUGAAAAGAAACACAAGACAUGUGUUACAAAGACUCCUCCAGUGGAUAAAAUGCAGAGUGGGAGAAGCACAAACCUGCCUGCAGAGCAGAGCAGCAGGAAAAAGCAGAAAGUGCUGGUGCAGCUGGACACUGAGUCAGACAGCUCUGAGCACACUGACCUCCUGAGCAUAGUCUCAGAAGAAGAAAUGUUUAAAAAUUUGUACAAAGAUUAUCCACAAGCUUCACGGUUACAUUCCACAGCACCAAAAAAGAGCCCAGCUCCAUGCAGUGUGAAAUCUCCAGGCUCUGCUCUGAAACUCAAAACCAUGAGGAGAAUGCGCGAGGCGGGCUGGGCUGCGCUCUCCAAAACGGACAGGAAAAGGAAAAUGAAAGAUGCUGUAAAGCUCUUUGCUUAAAAUGCAGAAAUGCCCAGUGCCCUGGCAUUGCUUGCAGGGCUGUUUUUCUCUCAGAGUUAGUGCUUUGUUGCAUUUUUCUGUCAUACUCAGUGUGUUUAAUACUGUGUUCAUUCCUUUACACAUAUAAACUUUAUAGAUCCAUAACUGCAACCCCUGCAGAGCAUCUUUCACCUUUCCUCCCUUGUGCUGCAAAAUGUUGGGACACAAAUUGGCCAAUUUUAAAUUUGGAAAUAAAUAGAACUACAUAGAAAGUUGUUUCAAAGCUGUUUCUAGCAUUAGAAAUUCUAGUUUUAAAUAACUUCUGUUCUUUUACAUUUACUCUGUUUCUCUUAACACAUAAAUACUUAGUGGAGAAAAUGUAGCUGUUAAAUGUAUGUUCUUUUACUGAAGUCCUCUUGCUUUUUCCUGCAUUUUAAUGGCUGCUAGACCUGUCUUUUAGAUUGUUUUAUUUUCAGUAUGUUAAAAUGGUUUUGAAACUUCUAAAAUUUCAGUAGAAUUACUUGUAUUUAAAAAGAUUUCAGCUUCAUAAGGAGUGAAAUAUGCAUGUUAUAAGAUUGUGAAGACAA